rnacentral:lncRNA from 1 species
CGUGUUGGAUCGAAUUUAUCACUUUUUAGGCAUGGACUUGCCGAGUCUCCUGAUGGACUCGCCGAGUCUGAUGAUCAGACAACAAGAAAUUCGAUUUUUUAAGCAGUUUUGCAAGUAUAACAAGAAAACAAGCCUAGGCUCUGAUACCACUGUUGGGUUUUGAGCAUUCUAACACUCCUAAGUGUACAUGCAACCCUAAAUACCUUGGAUCUAUGUUUUCUCUAUUAUACAUGCAAAUAAGAACUUCCAAGGUAUUAUCCUAAUCUAGCAUACAAAAACAAUGAGUGUAACAAGAUAGAAUACAUACCUCUUUGAUGUAGAAAGUCUUCAUGAAGCUUGAGUGCCUAGCCCCAAUAGUGUGGAAGCCUCAAAUGGAAUCACAAUCACCAAAACACUUAGAAUAACUUGAGAGAAUUCUACAACUCAUGAAAUCGGCUAGCCCUUUUUUACUUCACAUUCUAGUGGCCGAUUUGGUAAAGAAUAAGAUGCUUAUAUAGUUAGGGUUACACCAUGUAAACCCUAAUUGACAUGGCCUUUCAUUUCCAUGAUCUAUGGGUUCAAAUACACCAUGGAGCAUCCAUGGACCAUCCUAUGGGUUUUAGCCCAACUUGAUUAUCCAUGGAGCAUUAGCCCACUAUACAAGUAUGGAUGAUUUACACAAUCAACCCAUAUAUUUAAUUAUUCUUCUUUUGAUCACUUAAUUAAUCCUAGAUUAAUUCUUGAUCAAUACUAAUUAAAUAAUCUUAUUAUUCUUAUUAUUAAUAUACUAGAACUUAUAAUAUAUUAAUAACCAUAAGUGUCUUAUUUCUCUCAUUAUAGUCUAUCCAAGUGCAUGAUGGUAUGCAACCCAAAUGGACCAUGCCGGGUCGGGUCAAGUCUUACCAAUUAUAGUUAUGGACUUAGACAUUAAUCCAACAGUGAGUUACAUAGUGUAACCCUAAUACCACAAUAUACAAGGACCCCAUAGCUUAAGAAAUCGGCCCUAAGAAGGUUCAUAUGAGAGGGCUAGCCGAUUUGAGCAUAAGGAAUUUUCUCUCAAUUUAUCCAAGUUGUUGUUGAUGUUGUGUCAACCAUUUGAGGUGUUACACUUGAGGCACUCGUCUCUUAAGCUCCACGGAAUGAAGCUACAACACAAAAGGUAUGUUACUCUAACUAGUAUCUUAUUUGAUAUAUGAAAAUGCAUGCUAGUUAUAGGUUUAAUGCCUUGGAACCCAUUUGCAUGUAUAAUUAGUGAAAACAUAGAUCCAAGGUAUUUAGGGUUGUAUGUGCACCAUAGGAUGUUGUAGUAUACCAAAACCCAUCAGUGAUAUCAAAGCCAAGGCUUGUUUUCAAGUUAUACUUGCUGAAAUAGCUUAAAAAUCGAAAAUUUUGGCUUUCUAGGCACUGGACUCGUCGAGUCCACUAAUGGACUCGUCGAGUCCAUGAAGAAAUUCGUCCUACUCGUCGAGUAGGUUCAUACACUCGACGAGUAGAAGCCCCUGACAACAUAUUUUCGACUUUUAAGGUUAGAAUUGGACUAGAAUCAUUACCCUAAGCUGUUUUUGAACCUAUAAACUUGUUUUUGAUGUGGUAAUGUUCAUUCUAAUCCAAUUUAGAAGAUAAUUGUCAAUAGAUUCAUGUUUUGUAUUAGUUUAAUGGUUAGGCUAAUUACAUGAAAAUUAUUUGAUAUGAAUUAUCUUGUUCUUAUGAGUUUGCUUAGAUUAAUAGAAAAAUUAUGUGAUAAUGUGUUUUCAAUCCAAAUUGAUCUAGAAGUUAUUCAUAAAAUGUGUUUUUUUGACUUGUACUCAAUUUAUAUGAAAAGUCACAUUUAUGAGUUUUAAACACUCAUAAGAUUUCCAUAAGUUAUGAAAAUGAAGAGUCUCAUUUUUAAAUAGUUUAAAGUCUUUCAUAAUUUGUCCUCGAGUUAUGGAAUUUGAACAGUUUUUCAUUAAAACUACUUUAAACACAUAAGUUAUGUAAUUGAAAAGUUUUUGAACUUUUCAAAACUUGCCCUAAAGUUUUAGAAAUUGUAAAGUUUCCCCAUGAAUACUUUAAUUCCAUGUUAAACCCUUAGAAUUUUAAAAGUUAAAAUUCAACCGUUAUACUAUUAUAAUAUUAAUAGUUAAUAGUUAUAUAUAUGUAUAAGAACAAAGUCAGUCUUACUGUUAGUAGGCCUCAUUCACGAAGCCGGUUUAUAAGAGGGUAUAAGGUUACUACCUUUAAAAUGACAGUUUAAUGGGUGUCCACUCUCACCCACCGCUUCCUUGACUGGUGGAGGGUGGUUAGCCGAACGGGUUUGAUAGGACUAUAAUUAUCCCUUCAUUAAAAGUAUUAAUGAUAAAUACUAAGUAACUAAACUCUUAUAAAUUCGCAAUCUUAGUUACUUUAGAAAAUGUGAAUUUUGUGCUAACCCAUGAGAUUACACUUUGCUCUUUGCUUAAGUCGUUAGUGGAGCGCGUGUGGUUAACUGGCACACUAAAUUGAUUUUAAGAAGGUUGGCAAAUGGUGGCUUAAUGUUUACCAUAGAUAGGUGGAGCGCGUGUGGUUAACCGGCACAACGAUUAGGUGAUAAAAAUUAAGAGUAUCAAGUAUAUUUGCAUGGUUAUUCACACCUUGUUUGUGCUCCUCGACAUCCUAGUCACAAACUUGAGAGGGUAAAAUCGAGAUUUAAACAUGCCAUUGAAUAGUUCAAUGAAUCUCAAAAGAUCUAGGAGUUUCAAAGCAAUUAAAACCUAAUACCUAUUUCGUUUUUCAUGGUGGAAAUUGGUGAAUUGUCAUUUGCCUACCUUCUAAUAUUUUAUAGCUUGGAUUACGGCAUCCCUCUUCCAAGUUAUAAAAGUAUUGUGUUGGGUCCUAGCCUUAAUAUUUCAUAUUGGGUGUUAUAUUAAGGAAUUAAAUCAACUAACUUGAAUAUCUCCCAUUGUAGAUGUCUGGUUCAGACAACUAUGAUCUUCCCAAAUCCCUAGGAACAAGUUUUCCUAAUGAAGUUGAUGUCCCGUGGUUGGUUCAUGGAAAUCAUACUUCUCUUCCUUCACAUCCUCCAAUUAUUCUCCCUAACCUACAAGUUCUUGAAAACUUCAAGGUCACUCAAGCCCUAUUGGCAAGCAAAGUCUAUGUGUGCUCACAUCUUAGAGAUAAAGUCACAUAUUGACAAGCCGGGAGAGUUGGGUGCCAAUGUCUUAAGGAAGUUGGUUGUUGACUAAGUUCUUCAAUCACUUUCUAAGUCUCAUAGUGAGUUCCUUUAGGGCUACUACAAGACAGACCAUGACAUGACCCUUAAUGAUCUUACAUGUUGAAACAUAAAACUGACCCUCUUAAACUUAAAAGAUAUUCGAAGCUGCUUUCAGGAACCGCAGUCAAUCUCAGCACCGCAAUCAAUAUCAGCAACCGAAGUCAUCGUCAUCAACUCUUAGUUUUAGUCUUAUAUCUGUUUUUCUAUAAGUACUUUCUUUUAUCCAAUGUGCCCUGCAUGGCAACUCUUAACAUAUUAGACUGUAUGUAAUCUUUGAGACUCUAUAAAUAUAGUUCUCUCUUUCUCAAUGAAAAAUACUUCUCUUACGCAUCUUGAAUCUUAUCACUCAUCUUACUCCCUUCUUACUUAUCACUUAAAUAUAAUUUUAACUAUUUGAAAUCUCUCUUCGAAGCAAGUCUUUCUAGACUUAAUCACUAAGUUUGAUCUCACUUACUAACUUGGUCUGAUUGCAUUCCUUGUUAAGAAUCAACUUAAGUGUAUACUUGAUAUAAUACUUGUUGUCUUUUAUAUUUCCUUAUAUUUCCGCAUCUAACUUUCUAACUCUAACUUAUUAUUAUUGUUGACAUUUAAUGAUCCUUUGGUUAAACUUUAUUCUGCAUUAUCACUUUUUCUAACGUUUGUUCAAGUGUCACUCAAGUUUUUCUCUCAACAGUUGGUAUCAGAGCCAAAGUGGUUGCUUUUUGAAGCAAAACUCUGAUUUUCAAAAGGCCUUCUAUACAACUGAAGCUCAUUUCUCAAAAAAAAUCAAAACAAGGAAAUAUGGCACAUGCAUUAUCUCUCAAUGUUUCCAACAGUGUUAGUGGUUCUAAUAGAGCCCCAAUAUUGGUGGCAAACGAAUAUCAUCGCUGGUCUCAGAGGAUGGAAAUAUACUUAAGGAGACUUGGAAGAGAUGUAUGGCGAUCUGUAGAGGAAGGGCCACAUGUCCUUGUUCUUACACCAGUUCAAACUGACGGCUCCACAGCCAGGCUAGGAGGAGGUCAACCAGCCAUGAAUCGUCCCACUAAAGACAAUUUUCAUAAAAUGGAAAAUGAUGUUGUUGCCUUUUAUGAAAUCUCUUGUGGAGUUGCUCUUGACAACUUCGACAUUAUCAUAAACUGCAAAUAACCAAAAGAGAUAUGGGAUGUUCUCAAAAACCUCUAUGAGGGCAUUGAACAAGCCCAAGAUAAGAAGCUCACAACCACACUCAAUGAGUUCAACAAUUUCAAAGCUCAUACUAGCGAAACAUUGGAAGACUCCUUCAAAAGGUUCAACCUGAUUGUGACUAAGUUAUCUAAUGUUGGCACGGUCUGAAGCAACCAUGAGAACAAGAAUCCACUAUACUCAAAGAAUGUGCUGACUUCAGAGGACCACUGGCUCUUAUAGCACAAGCUCCACAUACUCAAUCUUACUCUCCCUCGUAUGACAAUCCUACACAGUCAUACAAAGCUGACUCAGGGUAUGAUGACAAAGAAGAAUUUCAGAAUGCUAUAGCUCUUGUUAUCCAACAGUUCAACCGGCUACCACCUCCUUCUUUUCCUAAGAAUCAGCAGUUCAACAAACCUCCAUUCAACCGCAACUUCAAUAAUCACUCUCGAUAUCCCAAAAAUCCUCACCCACCACCGCAAUCUCAGACCACUCAACCCAAAGAGGCACCGAAGCCUAUCCAUCCAACUGAAUCUGGUACCUUGUUAGAAGAUAAAAAUGAUGUUGUAAUCUAUCACAAGUGUAACAUGGAGAAUCACUUUGCAAAAGACUGCAAAGCUAACAUAGUGAAAGAUAGAGCAUUCUACCUUAGAAUGGCUCAAGAAUUGGAAGAAAAGGAAAAAAAAAAGCAAAGGUAUUCAUAGCCCAUGUGAAGAGGGACCAGCAAGUUUGGUCAUCAGGAGAUGAAGAUGAAAACGUCAGCAACGCCAAGGGUAAAGGCAAGAUUUGCAUGCUGGAAAAUGCGGAUGAUGAUGGGUCUACGAAGCUGGAAAAGAACUACUGCUACAUGGCAUAGGAUGGGACUCUAAGCAUCGUCGAACAGACAUUGUGCAAGGAGGAACAAGAAGAUGAAUGGUUAAUUAAUAGUGCCUGCUCCUUGCGCAUGACCAGAAGGUUAGAAUACCUUCGGGACUUCAGGCCAAUCAGCAAUGGUGGAAAUGUCACCUUCGGUAACAACGCAAAUGGGAUAAUCUGAGGUUAUGGUGUUCUUACUAUGGGAAACUUCUCUAUUCAAAAGGUUUGUUACAUAGAAAGCCGUAAACACAAUCUAAUCAGUGUAGGCCAACUAUGUAAAGAAGGCCACAGAGUUGAAUUUGACAAUGAGUACUGCUACAUAAUGACAAGUGAUAGAAGCACCUGUUUGAUCAAAUUCAAGUCUGAAGGAACCAUGUAUCCGCUGGACGUUUCUCUGAUAUAUCAACAAUUUGGUCACCGGAGAACUCGCUCGAGGUCUCCCAAUUCUCAAAUUCAGCAAAUGAUACACUCUGUCCUACCUAUGAAUGUGGCAAACAAUCCAAAGCAAGUCACCCAAUGCUGUUUGAUUCUUCAAUUUUUGAACCACUGGAACUUCUGUAUAUUGAUCUCUGCGGUCCAUCUACCGUAGCCAGUCUUCAUCACAAAAAAUGCAUAUUAGUUAUAGUUGAUGACUUCACUCAUUUCACUUGGGUCUUCUUCCUGACAUUCAAAUCCGAAACUCCACAGAUACUGAUCAAUUUUAUCAAAGAAAUUGAACUUCAAAUGAAAUUACCAGUGCACCACACCCGAAGUGACAAUGGAACCGAAUUUACCAAUCACAACUUGAAUAGUUUCUUUGUUUCAAAGGGUAUUAGUCACAACUUCUUAGCUCCCUACACACCGCAGCAGAAUGGAGUAGUAGAGCGAAGAAACCAAACUUUGGUAGAAGCAGCCAGAUCUAUGCUUAACUUCACACACGUUCCUCUUUACUUCUGGGCCGAAGCAAUGGCCACAUCAUUCUUUAUUUAAAACCAAAGCAUUUUUUGGAAGCGUCUCAGUAAAAAUAUGUAUAAGGGCCUUAACAACCACAAACCAAAUGUCCGAUUCUUCCACAUCUUUAGGUGUAGAAGUUUUGUGAUCAACAACAGAGAUCAUCUUAACAAGUUCGCACCGAAGUCUGAUGAAGGCAUCUUCCUUGGCUACUCAACAAACAAAGUAGCUUAUCGGGUUCUCAUUAGAUGCACAGGACUAAUAAUCGAAAGCUUUGACGUCAAAUUCGAUGAUUAUUACAUCCGCAACAUCGCUCCAUCAACCGAAACCAAAGCAAUCCUAGAAAGUGAUAUUCCAACCUCUUCGGGUCCAUUAAACAUAGUUGAAGUAAACUAUGAUGAUCUCUUUGAUCCUAUAGAGACUGCUAAGCUAUCCGAAGUUCUUGUGUCCCCAGAAGCUCAAUAGCAACAUGCCCAUGUAUCUGGUCCAUCUCUAUCCAAUGAAGUAUCAAUCCAUACUUCCACCUCGCCGGUUGAGGGGAAAGCUCCACUCCGGAUCAAGUAACAACCAUUGAGGUUCCAGUACUUAAUGAUGUAGCUCCAGUUCCUACCCGCAAAGGAUCUCUACCCUCAAAUGUUUCUUCUAAAUCAGAUGACGAAAAUAUAGAGAACAUUGACACAAGAACUGACCCAAGGAUUAUCACACUUCCAACAAUCCAGGGGGAACUAUCUUAGAAUCAAGGGGAACUCUCGUCUGCAAUCAAGGGGGAACCUCAAUCUUUUGUUCAAAAAAACUCUAAUCCCACCUUCCCAAAUCAAGACAAUUCAGCGGGCUGCUCACAAGUCUAGGGGGAACUGUCGUCCCCAACCGCAGAAUCUUCAAAUAUUGAAGACAUGCCAUCCACCGCAGCCACUAACCAUCUUCAACCUCGUCUACACGUGUGGAUGAAGGAUCACCUACCAGGUCAAAUCUUCGGAAACCCAUCAGCAACAAUGCAAGAGGAACUGGAAGAGUUCAAAAGAAACAAAGUGUGGCAACUCAUUCUGAAGCCAAAAGGUCACACCAUUGUUGAUAUCAGAUGGGUGUACAAGAACAAAUUGGAUGAAUCCGGUGUAGUAGUCCGGAACAAAGAAAGACUAGUCGCUAAGGGAUAUCGUCAACUUGAAGGUGUUGAUUAUGAUGAAACAUAUGCCCCAAUAGCCCGAAUGGAAUCCAUCCGCAUUUUAUUAGCAUAUGCUGCUCAUAAGAACAUUAAAGUACAUCGAAUGGAUGUGAAGAGUGCUUUUCUCCAUGGUGAAUUGAAAUAGGAGGUUUAUCAUAAGCAACCUCCAGGCAUCGAAAGUCUUGAAUUCACAUAUCACUGUUAUAAGCUUGAAAAGCUAUCUAUGGUCUGAAGCAAGCACCAAGAGCAUGGUACGAGACUCUCUCUAAAUUUCUUGUCUCUUCUGGAUAUAAAAGAGGAGUGAUUGAUCCCACUUUAUUUAGAAAGGUAAAUGGUAAUCACCUUAUGCUUGUACAAAUAUAUGUGGAUGAUAUCAUCUUCGGAUCAACGGAUCAGGGGAUGGUGGAUGAAUUUGCAAAGCUCAUGACCUACGAGUUCCAAAUAAGCAUGAAUAGAGAGAUUAAUUUAUUUCUAGGACUUCAAGUGAAACAAGUCCCUCAAGGGUUAUUCAUCCAUCAGGAGAAAUACUCAAUGGACAACUGUUCCUCAGCCAAGGUGUAACACCCGGAAUCCAAAAGACCAAGAAAGGAAAAAAAACUUGAGUCAAAGGGGUCAACUCGUCGAGUCCAAGGAAGAACUCGAUGAUUCGGAGCGUGUCCCAUGUCGUGGAUUAAGUGACAGACUCGACGAGUCGGGGAGACUGACUCGACAAGUCAGGUCUAGAUUGGGAAACCCUAAUUUCGGGACUUGGUGCCCUAUUUAAACGCCCUACUCUCAUUUCUAGGGCUUCAUUUACAGCCUCCACUGUCCAAAGAUGAAACUCUAGCCACCCAACUUCAUUCUUGAGAUUGUGUGAGAAGAUUAAGGUCCCUUUUGAGUGCAUCUUGAAGGUUGUAGGAGAAAGGAGCAAGGAAAGGAGUAAAGAUCCAGAGUUUGGGUGACAUCUCAGAUCAUUUGAAGGUAUAAAGCUUAUACCUUGACUGUUAAUCAUCUAGAUCUCCUUCUCUAGCUUGUAUUUUGUCACAUUUGGGCCAUUUCCGAGGUUAAUCCGAGUAUUAUGCCCUUGAGGAUGUAUUGGACUUCAGGUCUGGGCACUUUUGAGCUUUGGAAGCUCAGAAUUGCUAGCUUUAUGCAGUUAUGGCCCCAUUUCAUGACCAAGACCUUCAUUUUAGCUUGGAUUCAGUGUUCUAGCUCCAUAACACAUUGCAUGCAUGUAAAGUUAGCAACUUUAUGUGUGAUGCUAGAAUUAGGUGUCCAGAUCUAUGAGUUGGAGGUGUUGGAAUGGACUGUAAUCGAGAAAAUGAAGAUAAUGAAGGUGGACUCGGCGAGUCUGUUCUUGGACUCGGCGAGUCGGGUCGAAACCCUAAUCCCUUAUGGUUAUGAGUCAAACUAGUGAGUUGACUGGUGACUCAGUGAGUUGGACAGGAUACGACUCGGAGAUUAGAAGACUCGAAGAGUCAUGGGGUGACUCGGAGAUCCGAGUCGCAACUUAUAGGAUUUUCUGAUUGUAUGAACUCGGCGAGUCAAUAGUGUGACUCGGCGAGUAGGGUCAACCUAGAAGGUUGACUUUGACCAGGUCUUUGACCAGAGUUGACUUAGUUUGACUUCUAUAGGACAAUUUAUGACUAAGUGUUAUUUUGGUAUUGGUAGUUCGGGAAGCCGAAGGGUCAGCGGUUCAGAAGUUGCCUGUAAGCAAUCGAAAGUGUUCAGCGAGUUUUCAGCAAUGCGAGGUGAGUCUCCUCACUGUGUGCAUGGGUCUACGGCCACAAUGUCGGCCCAUUAUGUUUAUAUUUAUGUUUUGCUUAUAUAUAUAAGGAAGACCCAGGGGUUAUCCCUAGGCACUUAUUGAUAUAUGCUCCAGGUUACGUCCUGAUGUCGGGCGAGGCCCGGGGGAUGAUAGGAUGCUAGGGGUCUUGGAGAUUCUUACAUGUGUUGGUAUGAUAGGAUCCGGAACGAGGGUCCGAUGUCGGGGUAAGCCCGAAGUACGUUAGAUAACAGGAUGUUUCCGGGCCGAGGGUCCAAUGUCGGGGUGUUCCCGAGGAAGAUUUUUAUGUAGUGUGUUAGAUUAUACUUGUUGUCUUCAUGAUAUUUGUAUGUGCCUGGUAGGGAGGUGAGUGUGGGCGAGGUCUCGUAUCUCAUCAAUAGCUGAGUAUGGAUGGGGUUCCAUAUCUCGAUAUUAGCAGAACAGGGGCGAGGCCCAUGUUAGAAAGGAUUUGAGUGUGGGCGGAGGCGGGGGCCCAUAUCUCACUACUAGUAGGAGUGUGGACGGGGUUCCACUACAACAGUAGUAAACCACGGGUGGGGCCCAAGUUAGGCGAGGCCUUAGAUCAGGGUAUGGUUAGGGAAUGUUUAUGUAUGUUUUAGUAUGUUAUUUGAUCGUAUUUAUGUGUAUAGCGGGCGAUGCCCAGAGACAGGCGGGGCCUAAGGGAAACAGAUCUGUAUACCGAGCGGGGCUCGAUGCCAGGUGGGACCUGAUGCCAGGCGGGGCCUGAUGAAGGACAGGCUCCGAUGGCGGGCGGGGGCCCAGUAUGUGGUUAUGUGCUCCGAAUUAUGUAAGGCAUGUUUGGAUCAGUAGAUAUGUUUGGUAUGUGGUAGGUUGGGGAACUCACUAAACUUCAUGCUUACGGUUUUUAGUUUUGGUUUCAGGUACUUCCGGUAGCAGAGGGAAGAGCUCGGGGUGAUCGCAUGGCACACACACAACAAGAAGUUUAGCUUGGGAUGUUUACUCUGAUAAAAUGAAUAAGUGUUUGAAAACAUACUUUGUUCUGUUAUAUAACCCUUUUAGUAUGUUUGAAAUGAUUUAAUACUAUGGUCUGGUAAUGUUUUAAAAAGAAAUUUUUGGUCAUGAUUUUUGGGAUUGUACAAGUUGGUAUCAGAGCCUUGGUUUGAGGGAUCCAGGCAUACUCUUGGGUGUGACUGAACUCAAACUAAGGGCUUGGUAAGGAAAAUUUCAAAGGAAAAUCGUUUUUAUAAAAAGAACUUUGGAAAAAAAAGGGUUUCAAAAAGGGAAUAAGAACUUUAAAAAGAGAAAAGGGUGUGGUUCAUGCAAUCAGCCGAGCUCAAGUAAGUUCUCCCAAAUUACCCAUACAAGUUUAUGUUAUGAUUAUGUGACCAACAUGCUAGAUUUAGGGCUAGGGAUCCAGGAGGAUGCCUUAUGUGCCUGUUAUAUGUGCUUAUUGAGCUAUAUGCUAGUAUUGGUUAGGCAGUGGUAGGAUAGCCUGUUUAGGUUAUGUCUGAUUACAUGAGCUCAUAUCGCAUGCUAGUGCAGAUUCUUGUUGUGUGGAUAGAAUUGCUUGAUUAUGUUCUUGUUAGAUUUCCCUUUUUGUCUGAAUGCUACUUGCUUUGUGCUUUAUGGGACUCUGAGGGAUGGGAGUUAGCCAUUAGGUGAAUGCGUUAAUUCACAUGUGACCAGGGUUGAAUAAUCCCAGAGUGCUGGAUGUGGCCCUAUUGCGCAGCUGUUGCCUGAGUCCAACCGUUGUAGGGAUGAGUCCUUUACUCGAAGGAUUAUUUGAGCCUCGUCACAUGUGAUGGUAUUCAGGUCUUGGCUAACUAGCAUUGUGAUGAUGCCUUCAGUAGUUGAGGACGGAGUAAGUUGGAGGAUACCCUAGGGCAAGCCUAGGAUGAUCUUAGUGCUGGGAGCAGUAGUAGUAGUAGGGGACUUGGUGGAGUUAAGGAAACUCUUGAGGAAAGUAUGGAUAGAUGUGGAAGGUCGUAUGGGCCCGUAAUACUGAAAGCAGAGGAUCUGUACUCGAUUCAGGAGGGGUUGAGAUAAAACCAGUGAACUUGUAGUGUGUGUGUGAUCCCUCAGAAGUGAUGUGUAUUUUGAUGAUUGUUAUGGCAUGUUCUCAGUAUGGUGACAUUGCAAGAUGAACCGGUGGAUGGGUCCGGUGUUAGAGAGGGAUCAUGCUCGGGUUCAGGGACUGAGUAGCUCGAGGAGCGAAUGAGGUAGUUUGUAUCAGCGGAGGUUACGCAUAGUAUUCUAGACCAGGCUCAUGUGAUCUUUGGCACGGUCAAGGUGGGCAUCCUAUAGAUGUUGGAUGAGAGGCUUGGGGCCUUCUACAGAGAGAUGAUGGCCUUGUUGGGAGCGCGAGUAUUGACAUUCCGAGAGUUCAGAGCUUGUGGAGCUCCAGACUACCAUGGGGCUAGGGACUCCGUUGCUAGUGGAAGAUGGUUGGCUGAUGUCGCCAAUGGUUUUCGUUCCAGCUGGUGUCCCGAGGGGGACAAGGUUCGAGUCGCCUCCUGACUACUGUAGGACAGAGCACAGGAUUGGUGGGAGGAGGUUGGUCAUGCUAUCGGGGAUGAUGUCGCGUUGGACACGAUGAAAUGGAGCGAUUUCUCGGCCAGGUUCAAGGCCGAGUUUACACCGGUGAUUAAGUUGCAACAGUUAGCCCGUGAGUUUCAGGAUCUGAGGCAGACAACAGAGACAGUGGUGGAGAUCACCGCCAAGUUCAAGGAGAGAGCCCUUUUGGUUAUGUAGUAUGUGACGGACGGGGAGAUGAAGAAGGAUCGGUACCAAGAGUUGUUGAGGAGAGAUAUCAGUUAGUUUGUGAGCCAAUACAGCUGCAAGACGCUGGAAGACAUGAUCGCUCGGGUCAGUGAGAGAGAGAUUGAUCUUGAGACAGAGAAUAAGAGGAAGUUGGCAGAGGUUCAAAUAUCUGUAGGAUCGGCCAAGAGGCCCAAGACAUCAGAUUCUAGAUUGAGAGGUCCUCAGGACCGGGGCCGCUGUGGCAAGUGCGGCAAGAUGCACGAGGGUGCGUGUAUGAGUGGCAGCGGUGGUGAUUCUUGUUGCUUCAAGUGCGGCCGGAUUGGUCAUUUUACCAGAGAUUGUACUGCUACCACCACCCACCCAAGGAUUAGACCUGAUAUGUUUCCAUUGCAUUCAGAGGGGCCACAAGAAGGCCCAAUGUCUGAGUUUGCAUUUAGCAGGACAGGUGAUAGCACCUGCCCCUGCAACCUUGAGGAUCACCGACGGCCGUCAGGGCCGGGCGGAGUCACCUGCAGUGAGGAGCAUGGCGUAUCAGCUGGUUUUAGAUGAGGUGUCAGCAGCCCGAUAUGUGAGGUACAUAUCUUUCAUUCUCCAUUAGCUUACAUUUGAUUUUAUUGUUAUGGUUAUGCAUCGGUAUUGAUAAUGAUACUUCUAAAUUUUGUGACCUGCUUGUGAUUGAGCUAUAUGCCAUCUGCAUGCCUGGGAUUUUAGAAUGAUAGUUGGAGGUCAUCUCCUUUAGAGCAGGUUACUUCGGAUGCAGUAACUGUAGCAUGCAUAUGUGGGACCCGAUGGUGUUUCGUGAGUUUCGGGAAGGUAUCGCUUGGGAAUAGAUCGGUUAGAUUCCCAGUUGUGGUAAGCUUGGGACUUCAGCAGAGUGGCCAGAGGAUGAUAAGGAGAACUGGGAAUUCUCCCGAAUUGUGAGCUGUGAAGAGCUAGACGAAUCGAAGUGGGGGAGAGCCACCCGUGUGGCCAGGGACAGGAGUAAGAGCAAGACCGGGGUGGUUUCGCAGACUUGGUAAGGUAAGUUGGGAGUUGGGGAAACUUUCCAACCAUGAGUUCGUGUAUUCGAAGUUAGUUGAUGACUGGUUUGGGGAAACCAGGUCGGAGAGCUUCUGGCAAGGUGUGAGCUUAGUCGGGAUAUAAGGUUGCGGGGUACCACAACAUUCCCCAGCAGCGAGUCAGUGAAGUGUUGUAAGACUGCGGGUAAGCCUUAGCAUUCAUUAUCAGCCUAGUUAGAGGAGUGUGGGCGGGGUCCGUAUCUCCUACUUCGAGGAGUGUGGGCAGGGGGGUCAUAUCUCCGAGUUAGUAUAAUAAGAAUCAGGAAAUUUUAUCCAGUUGAGAUCAGAGGAGGAGUAGGUCAGCAUAGCCCUGGAUAGGUGAGACCUGUGGGGAGAGGCCGCUCCAAAAUAUAGUUUGGGUGAGACCCAUGGGCGAGGCCCGUGUUCUUAUAGCUACAGGUGGGACCGGAAGAGACCUUAGGGUGAGGUAGGGAACGAGGUUCCCAGAUCUUCUAGAGCAAGAGUGUCUAGGUUGGUAAAGCAGUUCAGGAAGUUGCAGUAUAUUCAUAAGUCGUUGAGAGCAGCCGAGGGAUUAUUCUUGCGUUCGGUAACCGGUGGGGGACCGGUAUUUCAGGUAAUGAUAGAUUAGUUGGGACCAAGGUGGUCUCGGUUCAUCUGGUGGGCGGAUGGGAGUAAGCAAAACUUCAGACCGGAACGGUGAUAAGGGAUUUGGUGCAGAAAGCAGUAAGCCAACCAGAUGAUGAUAAGGGAUUUGGUGCAGAAUGCAGCUCUUGUCUGAGCUUUAACUGUAGCAGAGAGGGAUUCGCUACUCGAAGGAUUAUCUGAAUUCACACGAUGGGCGGAGUUUUAAGUAUUGGAGCAUCGGAUGUGGGAUUAUUUCGUGAGUAUUGGUGUGAUGGCCGGCACUUGGAGUGGCCAGAAUUGCAGUUCUAUCAGAGGAUUGGUCCUUGAAGGAGAUUGGAAAGGUUUGUUGCUUGUGGAAAGUUGCCUUGGAAAGGCCAGUGUCAGUGCAGGGUAAAGGGGUGACCCUCCUAUGUAUCAAGUGUAAGUAUACUGGAAGUACCGGUAGGGUCAUCAGUUGAGUAAGAGUGUUGCACUCGACGAAUAGUAAUGAUCGGAUUAUUCUGAAGAUGAUAUUUUAAAGAUUUGACCAACAGGCAAAGCGCGUAGCCAGUGGUAAAGUUGUAACUGGAUUGUAAGGUAGUUGACCAUGGCAGACUUCGAGGACGAAGUCAAGUUUAAGUAGGGGAGAGUUGUAACACCUGGAAUCCAGAAGACCAAGAAAUGAAAGAAAAACCAUAAGUCAAAGGGGCCAACUCGUCGAGUCCAAGGAAGAACUCGGCGAGUCGGAGCAUGUCCCAUGUCACAGAUUAAGUGACCGACUCGACGAGUUAGGGAGACUGACUCGACGAGUCAGGUAUUGGGAAACCCUAAUUUUGGUACUUGGUGCCAUAUUUAAAAGCCCAAUUCUCAUUUCUAGGGCUUCAUUUGUAGCCUCCACUAUCAAGAGACAAAACCCUAGCCACCCAAUUUCAUUCUUUAGCCUGUGUGAGAAUAUUAAGGUCCCUUUUGAGUGCAUCUUGAAGGUUGUAGGAAAAAGGAGCAAGGAAAGGAGUAUAGAUCCAGAGUUUUGGUGACAUCUCAGAUCAUUUGAAGGUAUAAAGCUUAUACCUUGAUUGUUAAUAAUCUAGAUCCCCUUUUCUAGCUUGUACUUUUUUCACAUUUGGGCCUUUUCCGAGGUUAAUCCGAGUAUUAAGCCAUUGAGAAUGUAUUGUACUUCAGAUCUGGGCACUUUUGCGCUUGGGAAGCUCAGAAUUGCUAGCUUUAUCUAGCUAUGGCCCCAUUUCAUGACCUAGACCUUCAUUUUAGCUUGGAUUCGGUGUUCUAGCUCCAUAGAACCUUGCAUGCACAUAAAGUUAGCAACUUUACGUGUGAUGCUAGCAUUAGGAGUCCAAAUCUAUGAGUUGGAGGUGUUGGAAUGGACUAUAAUCGAAUAAAUGAAGAUGACGAAGGUGGACUCGCCGAGUCUGUUCUUGGACUCAGCGAGUCGGGUCGGAACCCUAAUCCCUUCUGGUUAUGAUUCAGACCAGUGAGUUGAGUGGUGAAUCAGUUAGUUGGAAAAGACAGGACUCGCGACUUGUAGGAUUUUCUGAGUUUAUGAACUCGGCGAGUCAAUGGUGUGACUCGGCGAGUAGGGUCAACCUGGAAGGUUGACUUUGACUAGGGCUUUGACCAUAGUUGGCUUAGUUUGACUUCUGGAGGACAUUUUAAGACUAAGUGUUAUUUUGGUAUUGGUAGUUUGGGAAGCCGAAGGGUCAGCGGUUCAGAAGUUGCCAAGUAGUAAUCAAAAGUGUUCAGCGAGUUUUCAGCUGUGCGAGGUGAGUCUCCUCACUGUGUGCAUGGUUCUACGGCCACAAUGUCGGCCCAUUAUGUUCAUGAUUAUGUUUUGUUUAUAUAUAUAUGGAAGACCUUGGGGUUAGCCCUCGACACUUAUUGAUAUAUGUUCCGAGUUACGACCUGAUUCCAGGCGAGGCCCGAGGGAUGAUUGGAUGCUGGAGGUCUUGGUGAUUCAUGCAUGUGUUGGUAUGAUAGGAUCCGGACCGCGGGUCCGAUUUCGGUGUAAGCCCAAAGUACGUUAGAUAAUAGUAUGUUUCCGGGCCAGGAGUUCGAUGUCGGGGUGUUUCCGAGGAAGAUUCUUAUGUAGUGCGUUGUCUUCGUGAUACUUGUAUGAGCCUGGUAGGGACGUGAGUGUGGGCGAGGUCCCAUAUCUCAUCAAUAGUUGAGUAUAGAUGGGGUUCCAUAUCACAAUAUUAGCAGAACAGGGGCGAGGCCCGUGGUAGGAAGGAUUUGAGUCUUGGUGGGGGCCGGUAUCUCACUUCUAGUAGGAGUGUGGACGGGGUUCCACUACUUCAGUAGCAGACCAGGGGCGGGGCCCAAGUUAGGUGAGGCCUUAGAUCAGGGGAUGGUUAGGGAAUGUUUAUGUAUGUUUUAGUAUGUUAUUUGAUCGUAUGUAUGUGUAUGGCGGGCGAGGCCCAGAGACAGGCGGGGCCUAAGGGAAAUAGAUCUGUAUACCGAGCGGGGCUCGAUGCCAGGUGGGACCUGAUGCCAGGGGGGCCUGAUGACGGAUGGGGUAUGAUGGCGGGCAAGGCCCAAUGCAGCGUGCGGGGGCCCAAUAUGUGGUUAUGUGCUCAGAAUUAUGUAUGGCAUGUUUGGAUCAGUAGAUAUGUAUGGUAUGUGGUAGGUUGGGGAACUCACUAAGCUUCGUGUUUACGGUUUUCAGUUUUGGUUUCAGGUACUUCUGGUAGCGGAGGGAAGAGCUAGGGAUGAUCGCAUGGCACACACACCAAGAAGUUUAGCCUAGGAUAUUUACUCUGAUAAAAUGAAUAAGUGUUUGAAAAGAUACUUUUGUUAUAUAACCCUUUUAGUAUGUUUGAAAUGAUUUAAUACUAUGGUUUAUUAAUGUUUUAAAAAGAAAGUUUUGUUCAUGAUUUUUGGUAUGUUUCACAAGAUCCCCAUGGCCUUUUGAUUUAAGAUUUCUGCUGAUCCUUCCGGAGAAUCAGUGGAUCACAAAACUUAUAGAGGAAUAAUUGGCUCAUUGAUGUAUCUCACCGUAAGCCGACCAGACAUUGUCUUUGCAACAGGGGUAUGCGCAAGAUACCAAGCCGUUCCGAAAGUAUCUCAUAUGACCGCAGCCAACCAAAUUCUCAGAUACUUACUGGGCAGCAAGUCUCUAGGCCACUAGUAUCCCGCAGGGAAUGAUUUUAGCCUAUAAGCAUUCACUGAUGUGGAUCAUGCUGGAUGUAGAUUGGAUAGAGAAAGCACUUCCUGUGGAUGUCAAUUUCUUGGUGGAAGACUCGUCAGCUGGUCAUCAAGAAAACAAAAUUGUGUCUCACUAUCUACCGCAGAAGCUGAAUAUGUGGCAGCAGCCAGCUGUUGCUCACAAGUCUUAUGGAUGAAAAUGCAACUUAUGGACUACGGAUAUAGAAUGUUGCAGAUACCGAUUUACUGUGACUCAGAGAGUGCCAUAGCGAUUUCUCAUAAUCCUAUUCACCACGUAAGACGAAGCAUAUUGAACUACACUACCACUUCAUUAAAGAUCACAUCCUGAAAGGUAACAUUGAACUGAUUUUUAUUCAUACUCAUGAAGAGAUUGCAGAUGUGUUCACAAAGGCACUUGACUCUACAAAACUCAACAGUUUCGUACAAAUGUUAGGAAUGAUGAAUCCAUACCAGAAAUUCUUCUUGAAUUGAUAGGUACCGCAGACCACUCUUGGUCACCAUUGCGGUCCUAAUUAAAUAUAUCUAUCUUAUAUUGUUUUUGUGUAUAUUGUGUACUGCAAUACAUUUUAUGUACCGCAAUAUACUAUAUAUACCGUAACCAUAUAUCAUACCUAUAUUUCAAGGGUAAAUUCUUGAAACAUGUGUUAUUUAAUGACCCUUCAUUAAAUACGAAAAACAUUCUCAAAAUAUUCGUUUUGUAGCAUAUGAUCGUCUCUGUAGGGUCCGAUGGGUGUUGCGUCUUGGGCUCGUUCUUUAGUCCAUUUUUUGUAUCCAGAUUGGGCCUUUCCAUCCGUGAGUUAUUUCUAGGGUUUAGUAUUUAUAGAUGCUUGCAUGCAUCUUAGUACGUAAGAUUUGAAGUCAAUUAUUUCAUAGAUAUUAUCUUUAUUGUUUGUAAACCUAGUAGCCUCUAUAGCGGAAGUUCUUUGUCGAGCUCUGUUGAGGCUUGAAUCCAUUGAAUCAUUUGACAUAUUUUGAUUCAUUCUUGUGCUUGAUAUUUCUAUUUAACGUUUCUGUGAUUAACCUGUUUAAAGAUCUAAACGAUCAAAGAGUUUCUUAACUCAUCAAUUGGUAUCAGAGCAGGAGACUGUGUAAUUCAUACACAUCUCUUCUGUGAAAGAAGUGAUUAGGGUUUAUUCCGCAUUCAUUGAUAUUUAUUGAGCCGUCACUCCAUAAUUGACGUAUCUCAUUAAUUAUUGAUCUUGCCCUAAUAUUACGUAUUACAAAGUCUGAUCUUAUAACAGGUUAAACGAUCAAGCAUGGACGAUUCUCAAUCUAAUCCUAUCAACAUCUCAAACAGUAUAGGAUCUACAACCAAGAUUCCAAUUCUCUACACUCAAGAUUACGAAGUGUGGACGCACCACUUUGAAGACUAAGGCAUUGGAUGUGAAGAUAAUGGGUAUCUAAUAUGGGAAGCUAUUAUAUCUGGCCCAUUUGCUCAUUCAGGAACAUCUAGAAUCAUUAAAACUCAAAAGGAGUACAAUGAUUUGUUGAAAGAUGUGAAAGACGUUGCUCAGGACGAAAAGGAGAAGUUUUAAUGCAACAUUAAGGCAUUUAGGCUAAUUCAAUUCGCUCUUCAAUCCGACACAUUUAGAUUGGUAAGUUCUUGCAGUACAACAAAGAAAACCUGGGAUCGGCUGCGAGAGCUAUAUUCUACAGAUGAAGAUCUGGAGCACUAAAUUCAGACUUUACUUCUAUCUGAAUUUGGAGAGUUCAAGCAGAAGCCUGAAGAGGUUGUUACGUAGACAUUUGAUCGCUUCAAUCAUCUUCUCAGCAAGAUGAUCAAACAUCAUAUUGAAAGGAAGCUCAUUGAACAGAAGGUCACCUUCCUGAAUAGCCUAAGAUCCUAAUGGAGAGUUGUUGUGUCAACGGUUAAAGCACACGAGCAGUUCAAAUCAUACUCGUUGGCGAAACUGGUGGGGAUUCUGAAAUCCUAGGAAAAGACAAUGCUGCAAGAGAAAAGCGUGGUUUCAAAUCUAGGGUCUCUGGCGCUUCUGUCCAAAGUUAAGAGUGCAGCAGAAGACGAAGAGGAUCUAAAUCUGGGAGAUCACGAUUUGACAGUCGAAGACUAUGCUAUGAUGGUGUCAAAUCCCAGAAGGUUCAUUAAGAAAAAGUUCACUACCAACAAAAAUCGUAAUUGGCAGGGAAGCUACAGUUUUGAAAAGGUGAAAGAGGAGCCAAAGGUUGAAGAAUCGAAAAAGGAAGCGAAGGGUGAAGCUGACUCUGGUGUCAGUUGCUUUUACUGUGGUGGGAAGAAUCACUACGCAAAAGAUUGUGUGCUGAAGAAGAUGGUAGAGAAAGAUGAAGAGAAAGAAGCAAGUCUUAUGAAAAGUCUGGAAGAGAUAAAGAGGAAGAAAGCUGCUACUAGUCCCUCUAUGAAUGCUCUUAUUGUGAAGGGUUCGGUAGAUGAUGAUGAGUUCGGUGGCGUGCAGGUGUGGUCGAAUGACUCAGAAGACGAAGAAGUGAGAAAGCCUUCUCAUGGAAAGGCUUAUGUUGCAAAGAGUGGUGAAACUGAUGGAAUAUGUCUGAUGGUGACCGAUGUAUCUCAGAGGAGGGGAUACAACACUGAUGGUGGAAAUGAAGAGGCCAAGGAGCGAGAGGUCUUAUGCUUUAUAGCAAAACCUCUCAGUGUGCAGAUCAGUGAACUUGAUGAACUGAUCAAGAAGGUACAAACUAUUUUUAUUUCAUUUAAAAGUCCACAAAAAUCCUAUGAAAAGGAAUUAAAUAACUUGAAUUCAAGAAUUUCAAAUCUAGAUAGUUGUUUACCGCAAAAACGGGUCACGAAUUCUAAUCUAACUGACCAAAUAAGCAGGAUGUCAUCCAAGAGUGAGGAGCGAAGGAUGUGGAUAGAGCAGAAACAGUUGGAGCUGAUUAAGUCAAGGGAUGAAAACAUUUAUUUGCAAAGAGACAAUCUCAAAUUAUUAAAACAAAGGAAUGUUUGUUGUUUGAUUGCCAAAAGGCUUUAUGCUAACAUUACUCAACUGCAUUUAAACUGUGAAAUAGGACAGAAGAUAUAUCACAUGAUUUUACCCAUCCUUGAGUUUAAGGAGGAUGAAAUUGAUGCCGAAGCAUACAACUGUGAAAGUGUUGUAUCUUCCGAUGAUGUCAAUCCUACUUACAUGUAUGGUCUGGACAAAAUUGAAUCCUUUAUAAAGUCCAAAGACCAUAAGGACAUGCUUAAAAAUCUUUUGGAUGAAAAUGAUAAGUUGAAACUCAGGGCCAAAACCAUACAAAAAUUUGACUCAUUGAGUACCAAUUUGAGUUCAGAAAAUAAAAUUGAUGUUGAAAAUGCAUCUGAACUUAAUGAGGACGAUGAUAUGAGUGAAAUUUUUGUGGAGGACGAAGUUGAUUGUUCCGAGUUUGUUAGGAGCGAACCUGAAAACCACAAAAACCAGAUUUCUGAAAAUUCUGUGGAAUUCGCUCGUUUGUCCAAAACUAAGUCCCCAAUCCUUAAAGAAAAGGCCGUCGUAUUUCAGAAAGUUAGAACAACUCCCAAUCAGGUGUAUAAGGUCACAGGAGUAACCGAACAUCAGACAGCCGAACUCACUGCCAUAGUGAACGAAGAUAAUGCAGAUGGCUGUGAUGAGUUUUUCUGGUCUGCACCGAUAGACAACGCAGAUGAAACAUUCGGUCUGUCAGAGUGAACAUCAUGGAAGGCCAAAGGUAGAUAUGUGCCCGAACCUCUGAAUAAGCCUACCAACUUUGACGUACCAAGUUCUAGUGGCACAAAAGAGAUUCCAGUGGAAGAAGUCACCUCAACAAGCGAAACCUCUUCCAUUAAGAGUGAACCUGUUGCUAAGAAGCUGAAACAAAAGGCAAAUAUCCAAAGACAACCGAAACAGGUGAAAAAUCAAAAGCAGCAGAGAAACCUGAGAUAUAAGAAAAAUCUCUCAGAGCGAAAGCAGUUUUGGCGCUCCCAAAAUCCUCACUACACUCACUUUGAAAAAAAUUCUAAGUGAAAAGGAGAAGAAAACAAGAGUCAAAGGAACUUCGAAUCUCCGAUUCAAAAGAACCAGAGAUAGACUUUCGGGUCACAGGAAGAACAGAACCGAAAGGAUAGGUUCGGUCCCGAAAGCAACAACAACCGAUAAGCUAGUUUCGGUCUGCCAAACAACAACAGGCAAAGACUAGAUUUCAGCCCAUAAAGCUUUUACAAUAAAAGACCCAGUUUCGAACCUCAAGUCAGGAAAGAUUCUCAUUCUAAUUUCUUUUCCUCUAAUUCUUCUCGUUCUCAAUCUUCUUCUAAGCCCAAUUCUGGUCCUACACAAAAUUCAAGAUCGUCAAAGGAUUUGAAAGGAAAAAGGAAGAUUUCCUCAGCUAAGGAAGACCGAAAGCAGGCUAAAGUCCAAACACCAGGAUCUGAAUCCAAAACACCUGCAUCUAAUUCUAAUAAAAUCAAAGUGUUUACUAUUAAAAGAAAAGGCGAAACAACCUUAAUAAAACGAACAUAUCUUGUUGAUGUUUUCUUACUAUUCUUGUUUCUGUAAAAGGCUCACGUGGACCCAAGGAACUUUGGCUUCCUAAAUCUGCUUAAUUUUUGCAGGUUAUCAGUGACGAGCAGUUUGACGACGAAUGGUACAUCGACAGUGGCUGCUCAUGUCACAUGACAGGAAGGAAGGAAGAGUUAAGGGAGUUUCGUUCACUUCAAAUUGGUGGUAAUGUCAAAUUCGGUAACAACUCUUAUGGAACAAUAAAGGGUUAUUGGAUGAUAACCAAUGGAGACUUCUCAAUAAGGAAGGUGGCGUAUGUAGAUGGGUUGUAGCAUAAUCUCAUCAGUGUAUCUCAACUGGUGGGAGGUACAGGUCUCAAAGUUUCGUUUGAUGACAAAGGUUCAGAAAUUAUAGAGAAGAAAACCAACAAAGUCAUUCUCAAGUCAAAUCGAAAAGGUGAAAUGUUCCUUCUAAAUCUCAAACCAAUCAAAGGGAAUCCAACCAUAUGUCUUGUGUCCAAAGCUCAUUCAGACGAAAGUUGGUUGUGGCACCGAAGGCUUUCACAUCUCAACUUCAAAGACAUCAACAAGCUUGUCACCGGCGGUCAUGUUCGGGGUCUUCCAUUGCUUAUGUUUGAUCGAGAACACUUAUGUGCUGCAUGUGAAAUGGGUAAAUAGAGUCGUCAAAGUCACCCAACCAUCAUAAACACCAAGGUUGUUGAACCACUUGAGUUGCUUCACAUCGACUUAUGUGGUCCAUCAUCAAUGGAGAGCAUUGGCGGUAACAAGUAUAUCCUUGUUAUUGUUGAUGACUUCACACGUUUUACUUGGGUAUUCUUUCUAAAGCACAAAUCUGAGGCGACUCCCAACUUGAAGAUCUUUAUCAAGCAAGUUGAAGUGUAACUGAGGAAAGUCGUUCGAAACAUCAGGAGCGACAAUGGACUGGAAUUCAAGAACAAAAAAUUUGAAGAUUUCUUGACUGAAAAAUGCACCAGUCAUAAUUUCUCAGCCCCUAUACACCUCAACAGAAUGGAAUUGUCGAAAGGCGAAACCGAUCCCUAUGCGAGGCGGCCCGAACCAUGCUAAGUGUUGCUUCUCUUCCCUUAUAUUUCUGGGCUGAUGCUGUUGUUGCAGCAUGUUUUACUCAGAAUAGGUCUUAUCUCAACAAGCGCUUUUCUCUCACUCCUUAUGAGAUUAUUAACAACAGGAAGCCGAAUGUCAAGUUCUUUCACGUGUUCGGUUCCAUCUGCUUUAUCAUCAAAUCCAAAGAACAUCGCAACAAGUUUGAUGUCAAAGCUGAUGAAGGAGUCUUUCUGGGAUAUUCUCUUACUUCAAAGGCAUACAGGGUUUUAAAUAAACGUUCUAGAAGAAUUGAAGAAACCUAUUAUGUGACGUUCGAUGCAAUUAUGUCAAGAAACUAAAGUCUACCGAAGAAGCAAUUGGAGAGAUUUUCUCUCAAACAGGUCAAGUCACACAGAUAACAAAAUCGAUCAUCUUAAGCAAAUUAUCAAAGAUGUAGCCAAACAAAUGGGAGAAGGAGAACCAGUUCGAAACGAACCUCCCCAGAGCGGUACUUCGGUAGAGGGGGAGAAUCAAUUCUCUUCAAAACAACAGGACUCACAUAUUCAGGGGGAGAAUCCGAUCUUUGAAGCACCCGAAAGCCCAGCUACACCUGAAAGUCCUGUAGCACCCGAAAGCCUAGCUACACCCGAAAGUCAUGUAGCACCCGAAAGCCUAGCUACACCCGUAAGUCCUGUAGCACCCAAAAGCCCAGCUACACCCGAAAGUCCAGUAGCACCCGAAGGUCCAAAUCAACCUGAAAGUUCAGUUGAAGAAAGAAUUUUUAGGUCAAAUCCAAAUGAUUCAUUAUCUGUCGAGGGGGAGAAUUCUGACAUGCUCUAUGACGAUGAUACUCAAUCUGAAUUAGAAGAAAUGGUAAAUGCUGAACUGGAUCCAUCCUAUGACCCAAGUAAUCCUCCACUCACCAAAUAGACCAGAGAUCAUCCUGCAUCUCAAGUAGUGGGUGACGCAUCAGAGAAAGUUCUAACUCGCUCACAACUGAAGGCGAAACAAACUGCUUUACUCUCCAAAGUAGAGUUCUACAUGUUUAACUCUUUCGUGUCUAAAAUUGAGCCGAACACUGUCAAUAUUGCUCUCGAUCAUUCUGAUUGGGUUCAGGCAAUGCAAGAUGAACUCAAUGAGUUUGAAAGAAAUAAGGUCUGGCGUCUCAUUCGAACACCGAAAGAUGCCUCAGUCGUUGGUCUCAAAUGGGUAUUCAGAAACAAAUGGAUAAGGAUGGUAAUGUGAUUCGAAAUAAGGCUCGUCUUGUGGUAAAAGGAUACUGCCAGGAAGAAGGAAUUGAUUACGAAGAGACGUUUGCUCCGGUAGCAAGGUUGGAAUCUGUUCGAAUAUUUCUUGCUUAUGUUGCACACAAGAAUUUCGAGGUCUACCAAAUGGAUGUGAAGUGCGCUUUUCUGAAUGGGGAAGUUGAAGAAACGGUAUACGUGGAGCAACCUCCUGGUUUCGUGAAUGAAAAAUAUCCAAAUCACUGCUACAUUUUAGAUAAGGCAGUUUACGGUCUGAAACAAGCACCUAGGGCAUGGUAUGAAACACUAACUAAGUUUUUAAAGAUGUUUAAAUUCAAACAAGGUUCGGUUGACCCAACCUUCUUUCGUAAAAAGGAAGGUAACUAUCUUAUGAUAGUUCAGAUCUAUGUCGAUGAUAUUAUCUUGGCCUCAACGAAUCCUAGCUUAACAGCUGAAUUCAGAAAGUUGAUGGAGACAAAAUUUGAAAUGAGCUCAAUGGGUCCGAUUAACUUUUUUCUUGGUUUAAAGAUUAGGCAGGGACCCGAAGGCAUCUUUAUAAACCAGGAAGCAUAUACCAAGACUCUUCUUGCUAAAUUCUGCAUGAUGGGAGAUUCAAAGGUCAAAGUCCUUAUGGCGUUCGGUACCAAGCUCACACCAUCUUUGGAAAAACCGGCAGUUGACAUAACGCUAUAUCGCCAAAUGAUUGGUUCCCUGAUGUACCUCACAGCUAGCAGGCCUGAUAUAAUGUUUUCUGUGUGCUACUAUACCAGGUUUCAAGCAAAUCCUCGUGAACCACACAUGCUGGCAGUGAAAAAUAUACUCCGGUAUUUGAAGUGAACAACCUCUCUCAGUCUCUAGUAUCCCUCAAACUCAGGUUUUUUUGUUCAAGCCUACUCAAAUGCAGACCUUGGAGGAUGUGGUUUAGACAGGAAAAGCACUACAGGAGGCUGUCAAUUCCUUGACGGGAAGUUGGUGAGCUGGCAAUCUAAGAAACAAACAUGUGUUUCUCUGUUUACAGCCGAAGCAGUGUACAUUGCAGGCGCUUCUUGCACAUCUCAAGUGAUUUGGAUCCAAAGCCAACUCCGGGAUUAUGGACUCAAUAUGAAAAAGAUCCCACUAUAUUGUGACUCAGAAAGUGUAAUUAGGAUUUGUCAUAACCCAGUGCAACAUUCCAAAACCACACAUAUUGCAUUGAGGUAUCACUUCAUUAAGGAUCAUGUGGAAGACGGAAAUGUAGAGAUUCACUUUGUUCGAACCACUGAUCAACUGGCUGACAUCUUCACCAAAGCCCUUCCUGAAGCAAGUUUUAAUAAAAUUCUACAAGGACUAGGUAUGAUGGAAUCGGAGUCAGUACCAAAAACACCUUCUCAAAACUAAAAGUUGGAAGCGAAAUGAACCGAACGUUCGGUCUAUUUCGGGUUCGGUUCCCAUGGGUACCGAAAUGAACCGAACGCUCGGGUUCGGUCCCAUUGCACUUGUUUUCGCUUAUCUCAAAAAGGUAGUUUCUUUGGUUGUGAACUUUUGUACACUUGUUUUCCAAUUUUUUUUUUAAUUCCAAAAAAAAUUUUACGAACCGAAAUGAACCGAGCUUUCGGUCUAUUUCGGGUUCGGUUCCAAAACUUUUUUUUGGUUUGUUUUGUUUUUGUUUUUGUUUUGCUCUUUACGAAAAUUUAAAAAAAAAAAAAAAAAACUCCAAAAAUAUUUUUUUCUUUUUCUUUUUGUCUCUACUUCUAUUUGUAUUCACCGUUUAUAGAUUAUCGAUGGGGCAGGUAUCAUUCUCACACUUUUGUAGUAGCUAAGUGUCCCUAGAAGCAUGCUACAGCAUGUUGUCCAAAGCCUCAACUGAUUCUGAAUAAAGCCUUACUGACUUGGUAUAUACAAACCUUGUCUUCCCAAUUAGGCUACUACAUUUAUUCGAAUCAUGAGCUACCUUACUCUUUUCUCAUAUGCGAUAAGAGUUUUCUGCUUGGUCACUAAUUUUUUUUAGUAGAGGUACUUUGGUUUCCUUACACCAUCUCAAAUAUUUUUCUCCAUCAUAUUCGCUUCAUAUCAGUAACCCUUGAGACUCUCAGAAAUUACCACUGAGGUUUAUGGUUACACAAUUUCUGUGUUUAUGAUCUUAGCUUCGUGCCACUACGUGCUAUGUGAAACCCACAAUUCAAUACCUACUAUGCAUUGAUGGUGAACAAUUAAAUUUGCUCUAGUUUUCACUCAUGAAUUAACGAAUUCACCCAAGUGGUUGUACCAUGAGAUCUCUAAUUUUUCUUUUUGAGUGAUUCUUAUGAAAUUGUUAAAUACCAUAACAUUUCUUCCCUUAGAAUCCAAUUUUAAUUUUUUUUGAGAUUUCACCCCAAGUAUUUUCAACAUGUCACUUAAAUAUUAUCCAAACCUACUUGUUCAACAGACCACAUUGGUCUCACAAGUACUUCAGUCGAUUUCUUUUUUAUGUAAAGAUCAGGAAUUCUGAACUGAAGCGAAAGCCUCCCAAAUAAGCCUUAUUAAAAAAUGCCUUUCAACACUUCUUAAUUAGUGAUUAAUUGUAAUUCAACGGGAAACCACACAAACACUCUAAGGUCUCUCUUGACUUUGAAGGAAGAGAUUCGUGCCCGGGAUCCAUUGUUUUGUGUCUCUAUUGACAUAACAAAUUCCCACAUAUAUGUUGAUUUAUUUCUUUAUCUUUGACACUCUAUGCAUGAAAAUCUUUUUUGAUUUUCCAUAAAUCUGGUUUCCUUCAUUACAAGCUAUUUGUUUUGGUUCUGGGAUUUAAUGCUAUAUUCUAAACGAGAUGUGGUCGUUAAUGCUACACGUUCUUAAUUUUAUCUAUGAAGACAACUCAUUUUAAAAGGAUAAGUUGCUGACUCAGCCGAAAGUCUAAACGUUUUAGUAUUUCAAAUGGCGCUUGAUGGGAAGGCAUACGAAACGGAAGAGUUUCUCUCUCCUACGUAAUCAUAGGGGUUCUAACUGUCAUGCGUCAAUCAACUUAGGAAACGCUUCGUUUUUUCAAGAAGAUUUGGGAACAUAUUCUUCUCUCUCUUCUACCCAUGGUAUAAAGGGUAAACCCUACAGUCUUUUACCUCUUUACUGCAUCAAAUAUUCAGAGAGCAAGAAACGAUUACUUUGUCCCACUGUUCAUCAUCUUCCCCAAAACCACUCUUCAAUGGCGGACUCUUCUUCAGUUCAUGCUACUUCCCACAUUCUGACAAUCCAACCUCAACAAAGCCUGAUCAUUGAUCUCACCCCACAUGUCUACGACGCUUUCAUGUUCCUAAUCUUGGAGUGUCUCAAACACUCUCCACUGGUUCCCGCACUAACCAAGUUCGAACUUGUUCCAAUGGAGUGUUUAUUGCAGAUCUUCUCAACUGCCCACUAUGAGAAGUCUGUCGAUUGAAUUUUCUUUGACAUUUUUGUUACCAAAUCCUCCAUCUCCAAACAACGAUUUUGUUCGCUUUUAGGGUUUGAACCUGACGAGUCUAGGGUUAACCCUGAAUCUAUUCUUGUGGGACAGUUGUUCUCCAUGUUUUACAACAUGGGUUACACCGAGAUUCUGACCACUGUUACCAAGUUCAAGAAAUCAUGUCUACCUCCUCAGUGGAAUGGCUUCUUCACUGUGCUGUUCAAAGGAUUAUCAGAACAAAGUGCAGGUUCUGAUGGGGCUAGCCGGCUGUUUAUGACUAUUCUCUAUGGGCUGUACCACGGCGUCAAUCUCGACUAUGGAUCGGUUUUAUGGCAGCAACUGAUUCAAAGCCUUGCGUCUACUUCUCGCCAUUUUGAGAUCUCUUAUUCCAGAUUCUGGACUCUGGUCACAAAAUGGGAAAUGGACAAGUAUCAUGUCCUUGUCGUUGCUGAUUCUCCACUCUCCUCGAUCGGUAUUUUCCACACAACGAAGAUCAUAGUGUCUGAUGCUUCAAAAUUUUAGUUCAUUGGCUCCAUACCUGAGUCAAUGUAUGUGUGUGUUCCAAGGGAUAGUCGCAUUAUCAAAACCUACAAGGAGUUUCUUCAUUCAGGCCCUCGAGAGCUCACUCCAGAAAUGAUUCAAUCCAUCCACGACGAUGACAGGCCUGCUCCCAAGGGAAGGAAACCAGAAAAGGGGAAAGUCAAGAAAGUUGUCAAAGGAGCAAAAGGUCCUUCUCCAAAGAAGCGAAAACCUUCAAAGGCAGCUCAAUCACCUCCACCAAAGAAGAGGAAAACUCAGCCCAGGCGCAAACUAAUUCUUGCCUCUUCCUCCAGUGAAUCAGAGGAUGAGAGUUCAGACUUAGAAGAGUCACUUCGAGGUAACACUCCUCCACGUUCGCCUUCCCCUGAGGUACAUGUUUCAUCUAAACCUGUCUCUCCUCCCACAAUCUCUAUCUCUAUUUCCAUUCCCCCCAUAACCUCCACUACACAAAUACCACCUACCUCUAUCCCUGUACAACCUACUAUUUUCAUAGAAGCUACGACAACAACCACCACUGGAGUUCGAACAAACGUAUCUGAUACGAGGGCUCCUAAUUCAGCACCCGAACCCACACCCACUACAGAACAAACUUCCAUACCCGAACCUACUCCCGCAGCCGAACCUUCACCUUCUCCUUCAUCUCCCAAUCUCUCAGCUGAUGACGAGACUUUUCUUGGAGUGGAAGACAUGAAGUUUGAUUCGGUCUACUAUAGUCCGUAUCAAGUUCAAAGUGAUGAUGACGAUGAUGCUCCAUUCACCAAGAAGCAUCUCAAGCAACUUCAUAAGAAAAUCGAUAGUCUCAUCGCUUCCUCCUCCUAUUCCUCUCGGUCCACUAUCUCAGAGGCUACCAUUCAGCGGCUAGUUGAUACGUUGACCAAGGCUCAUGAAGCCUCCAACAACUCUGCCACUGGUCCUAUCGACGCCUCUACCAAGGCGUGUGCUGCUGCAACCAAAAAAGUCAAAAAACUAUUUGCCGAUGCUAACACUUUUUUAAAGUCUUUACAGGGAGCCGCUGAUUCCAAUGCAGCGAAGCGUGACUCUCUUGUUGAGACGCUGGUCACUUCAUUCGCAUCCGAACUGCAGUCCUUUGCCAGUCUUCGUCAGUCUCUCGCCGAUGACAAUAAAUCAUUCCAGACGACUGUUGAGGAGCGCUUGACAAAGCUGCAAGAAGAUCUCGCUUCAGAGAACUCAGUGAUGGAUGCUCUUGUCGCAAGACUAUUGCUCUCAAGGUCAAGAGUCUUCAUUUUUUCCAAUCAAAAAAGCAAGUUGCGUCUCUCUGAUCUGAGUGUGCGGUUAUCUCCACGUGUGUUUUGGAUGUCCACGUUGCCCUCUCCAACAUCAUCGAAGCAAAUGACCCAUCCUGAACUACUCUAUGAGGCACACUCUAGCUAAGAAGCUUGCUCCUGCCCUUGCCCUACUCAGCAAACUUGAAGGGCUUCUUGAGUUUGUGGCCCAUCUGAAACAAGGGGGAGAAGAUGUGUCUCAACCGCCUCCUACUUCUACAUCAACUAAAGCAACCGAACCUCCUCCAGCAGGUCAAGCUUCAGGUUCGGGUGUUAAAGAUAAAGGGAAGAAGAUUGCUGAAGACAGUGAUGGUGAUGAUGAUAAAGAGACCAUCGCUGAUCUCUUGAAGAAACAAGGUCGGGAAAAGGAUGCAGACAUGAGUGCUCGCGUUGCCAGAGAGGCCGAGGCGAACGAACGAAAAAUGAAGGAGGCUCAUGAUCUUCUUGAGAGUAGAAAAACUCUAUUUCCUCCAUGGACUCUCGAGAAGCUUAUCAAAGAAGCAAUUGAAACUCCCAGCAACCUGUGGCUCGAACUGGUGAUUUCUUUGGAUCGGAUCAAUUUUGUCGACUCUCAGUUCGAUAUGCCACUGACCCGAAAGUCCUUCAUAUUCCAUGCUUUUGCUCAUGUUGCUGAUGCCCCUCAUCCUCACCCAAAGGUUGAUAGGGAGCUCGUUGAAUUCUAUCUGAGGUCUGCUCAGCCUCAGUAUCAGACAUGGAGUGCUCAGAAGAUCAUUAAAUUUCGGGUCCUCAAACCGUUUCGUGAGGGGAACUUCACAAACGUUCGGUUCAAAGUGCUGAGGGGUUCUGCUAAAACUAAACAUGCUAUUUCACUUGCUGAUCUUCCCAACCUGAAUCCACAUGAUUGGAUUAUUCUACAUAACAUCCUCCUCACUAACGAAGCUGAGUAUGGGCCAAUCAUCGAUCACUUCAAAAGGAUGCUUGUUUGCUACAUCAUGAAGGUUGCCAACAUGGAUCAGGAGAUCGCAAGUAUUUCAAGAAGAAGCCUACCAUCUUUCCUGUUGGUUCUGCAAGUGAUUUAAAUAUGAUGCAGAUGGGAAGAAUCGACCCGAAGUGGAACUCUGUCAUAUUCACAAGGAACGAAGGCCAAAAAUGUAUGUUCGCCUUGGCAGAUAAGCAUCUAUACACCACUGCGUGCUUGGAACAUGUUCUGGGGAUCAUUCAUCGAUGCAAGCAGAAUUCAGCAGAUGACAAGAAGUAUUUUGAAGACAUGAUCUAGUGGUACAUUCGCUUCAGACAGACCAUCCUUGCCCUCAUUCCACGUCUGUUUGAAACCACAAAGAAAGUUCCUGCAGCUAGACCCAGCAAGACGAAGUAGAGUCUCGCUCCAAUUGACGCAAAGGGGGAGAUUGUAGGGUCCGAUGGGUGUUGCAUCUUGGGCUCGUUCUUUACUCCAUUUUUGUAUCCGGAUUGGGCCUGUCCAUCCGUGAGUUAUUUCUAGGGUUUAGUAUUUAUAGAUGCUUGCAUGCAUCUUAGUACGUAAGAUUUGAAGUCGAUUAUUUCAUAGAUAUUAUCUUUAUUGUUUGUAACCCUAGUAGCCUCUACAGCGGAAGUUCUUUGUCGAGCUCUGCUGAGGCUUGAAUCCAUUGAAUCAUUUGACAUAUUUUGAUUCAUUCUUGUGCUUGAUAUUUCUGUUUAACGUUUCUGUGAUUAACCUGUUUAAAGAUCUAAAUGAUCAAAGAGUUUCUUAACUCAUUAGUUUCAGUUCUUCUUUUCAAAUAAACCUUUUGUCAGACCUAUUUUAGGUGUGAUGCCAAAAUAAAACAGUUUCUGAUAAAAGAAAUAUUUUUAGAAAAUCUUUUCCUAAAAUUUUCUUUUCCACUUACCCCCAAAAUGUCGAAUCUGUUACAAAUUCAACCUUUAUUUAACGUAUUAUUGUCCAUCACCACACGUUCUUCAGACAUGGGGUAUUGGGCCUGACAUUUCAUUAAAUGUCAUUUUUUUAAAGUUAACAAAAAAAACUUUUAGUUAAAUGUUUUUGUGGCUGAUAAUGAUUUCAUUAAUUAAAAAAACUCAAAGGUUUUUAUCCUUAAUCACUUUUCUUUAGGGUAAAAACAAUAAUUAUUUGAAAUCUACCAAUAUAAAAACCCUCUUUUUCUCUCCAAGAAUGUUUUACGCUUCCUGAUCUCUCAAAGACGAACAACUUCUUUUCUUCCCUUUUGCACUUCAGAUUUUCCUGCAAAUUCUUUAAGUUUUUAAAAAUGGUGAAAUUAGGAAUCUCAAAGAAACACUCAAAAGUAUCAGCCUCUGCUCAACCAACUGGUUUCGAUUCUGCUACACGGAACCAAUCGCCUUUAAUUGCAUCUAGCAAUUUUAGGGAAAUUGUCAAUGAUCAUCCUUCCUACAAUGACUCGAUUCGUCUCAUGAUCAAGUUCAUCUCCAAUCAUCCACUCUUUGGACCAUUCGACGUAUUCACUAAGGUGGUUCCCAUAUCCACAUUGUUCAAAUGGGCAUUCUCAGCCUAUCGUCCUCUUGAUAAUCUACAAGAAGUUCAUCCAAACUUGGAGGAUGACUCUUUGGUCAUCUUGACCAAAAACAAGUUUCUUACUGCAAUCAACCUCCUGGUGCAUCCCUCAAGCAAGUUCUUUUCACCAAGUGUCACAGACAUCACCUCCACACUGUAUCAAAUAGGAUACCUGAGGCAGAUCAAGGGUAUUAGAGAGUUCAAGAGGAACUAGCUGCCUGCAGUAUGGAAAUUUCUAUUCCAUUUCGUGAUCCGCAGUCUAUCUGGACAAACUAGAGGCACAAACUGUUGGGUUUUGAGCAUUCUAACACUCCUAAGUGUACAUGCAACCCUAAAUACCUUGGAUCUAUGUUUUCUCUAUUAUACAUGCAAAUAAGAACAUCCAAGGUAUUAUCAUAAUCUAGCAUACAAAACAAUGAAUGUAACAAGAUAGAAUACAUACCUCUUUGAUGUAGAAAGUCUUCUUGAAGCUUGAGUGCCUAGUGCCCCAAGUGUGACACCUCAAAUGGAAUCACAAUCAUCAAAACACUUAGAAUAGCUUUAUAGAAUUCUACACUUCAUGAAAUCGGCUAGCCCUCUCUAGAAUAAUAAUAGUAGCGAUUUUGCCAAGAAUAAUAUCUUUAUAUAGUGUUACAAUUAGGGCAAACACUAAUUGUCAUGACUUUCCAUUUCCUUGGAUCCAUGGGUUCAAAUACACCAUGGAGCAUCCAUGGACCAUCCUAUGGGUUUUAGCCCAACUUGAUUAUCCAUGGAGCAUUAGCCCACUAUACAAGUAUGGAUGAUUUACACAAUCAACCCAUAUAUUUAAUUAGUCUUCUUUUGAUCACUUAAUUAAUCCUAGAUUAAUUCUUGAUCAAUACUAAUUAAAUAAUCUUAUUAUUCUUAUUAUUAAGAUACUAGAACU